rnacentral:rRNA from 1 species
CGCCUGUUUAUCAAAAACAUGUCCUUUUGUUUUUAAAUAUAAGGUCUAACCUGCCCAAUGACUAUAGUUGUUGAAUGGCCGCGGUAUUUUAACUGUGCUAAGGUAGCAUAAUCAUUUGUCUUUUAAUUAAAGGCUAGAAUGAAUGGUUGGACGAGAUGCAAUCUUUCUUUAAUUUAUUUAAUGAACUUAAUUUUUUAGUUAAAAAGCUAAAAUUUAUUUGAGGGACGAGAAGACCCUAUAGAUCUUUAUAUUUAUGGCUUUUAUUUAUUUUAGUGUAUUAUUUAUUUUAAUGGUUAUAUUUAUUUGGUUGGGGUGACUGUGGAAUUUAAAUUAACUUUUAUUUUGUUUUUUUCAUUAAUUAGUGUUAUGUUGAUCCAGUUAUUAUUGAUUAAAAGAUUAAGUUACCUUAGGGAUAACAGCGUAAUUUUUUCGGAGAGUUCUUAUCGAUGGAGGAGUUUGCGACCUCGAUGUUGGAUUAAAAUAAGUUUAGGGUGUAGUAGUUCAAAACUAGGUCUGUUCGACCUUUAAUGUUUUACAUGAUCUGAGUUCAAACCGGAG